GGCCUGGCUGGGCGGUCUGCCUUAUGGUGAGUACUGCUUUGGCUGGGUCUUUCCUUCUGGAGAGCCGGUAUUCCCUUUACUGGGUGUGUCGGGGAUCCAGGACUUUUACUUUGAAAAAAUUAGAGUGCUCAAAGCAGGCAUUUUGCUUGAAUAUAUUAGCAUGGAAUAAUGGAAUAGGAC
rnacentral:rRNA from 1 species